CCUACGGGUGGCAGCAGUGAGGAAUAUUGGUCAAUGGACGAGAGUCUGAACCAGCCAAGUAGCGUGAAGGAUGACUGCCCUAUGGGUUGUAAACUUCUUUUAUAUGGGAAUAAAAUGUUCCACGUGUGGGAUUUUGUAUGUACCAUAUGAAUAGGGAUCGGCUAACUCCGUGCCAGCAGCCGCGGUAAUACGGAGGAUCCGAGCGUUAUCCGGAUUUAUUGGGUUUAAAGGGAGCGUAGGUGGAUUGUUAAGUCAGUUGUGAAAGUUUGCGGCUCAACCGUAAAAUUGCAGUUGAAACUGGCAGUCUUGAGUACAGUAGAGGUGGGCGGAAUGCGUGGUGUAGCGGUGAAAUGCUUAGAUAUCACGAAGAACUCCGAUUGCGAAGGCAGUUCACUGGACUGCAACUGACACUGAGGCUCGAAAGUGUGGGUAUCAAACAGGAUUAGAUACCCGUGUAGUC
rnacentral:rRNA from 1 species